rnacentral:lncRNA from 1 species
CCAGACAGAAUCCUAACAAGAAGGUCACCUGGGGAUUGUUAUGACUAAAACUGAGGGGAUAUGUUUGAUCUCUCCAGCUUAACUGUACCUCUUUAGGGCUGAAUGCAGGAUCUUACAUACAGCAGGAGAUCAACAAGAAGGAUGUGCGAGCCACCAGCAGUUUAACCAAUUCUGAGAUGCAAGAAGUGUAUACGAUUGGAAAGUUGUCUCAGCCCCUACAGAGCUAAGAGAGCAAGGCUCAGAGCUUACCAGAAGAAGUCAAGAUCUCAGUGCCCCACACCAAGGAAUGAUACCCAUGAGAAACACCAGCAUCCACAGGGACUGGACACAAAUGAAGCUUCAAGGAAGUGAUGGCAUCCUUUGAAGAGACCAGGGUGAGUGGGUCACAGGGAACAUGCUUUCCUGAUAGCAUCAAGAUAAUUGUCAACCACUCCAGUGACCUCAACAAUGCCAGCAGAAGUCUACAGACGCUUUCUUUCUGAUGAUUAAAAAAAUAAAAGGAGACGAUCUACAGGAAGGAUGCUAAAAAAGACCAGGGAGACUAGAGCCCAGAGACAAAGCCAUCCUCGUCAAAUAAAGAAUUUGCGUUUGACUUGAAAGCAUGCUCAGACAGACAGCUAGCCUAUGUACGUGUGGUUCUUCCUCCUGUUCAACAGGGCUGUGAUGUGAACAUGAGACUUGUGGUGCAUGCCAGUUGGGACAUCAAGCGUCCUCGAAGUUGUGGUCAAUCAACAUGGGACCAGCUGGGGCCUCCCCGAUGCCUACUGUGAGU